GAUGCUCUUGCUCAUGCGUGGUGCAGCCAAAGUGGCUGAGAAUCAUGGAGCCUGUAGUUAUCUGGUUGCCCAGCUUCUCCAGAUGCUUCACACAUGCAAAGAAGCAUCUGAGGCCUCACAGAAGCCUGAGGCCUUUAUAGCACAAUGGGACUCUACCAGUUGUUCCCUUCCACCCUCUAGUAACUUGGUGAUGGAAGAACAAUCCAGAUUAUUCUUGACUGAAUGGACUCCAGACCUUAUAGCAUCUGAUAAAAAUGAAUCCACAAAUAAUUUCAGAGCUUAACACCAUCUCAGUAAUUAGGCUCAGAGGUCAGAACUAAAUGCAGGAAGAGAGAGAGUAGGGAUACUUAGGUGUUAUUCCUCAUUCCUCAGAAAGGGGGAAACCUUAAUGCCACAACCUAAGGGCCAAAUUAGACUUGAGGUGAAAGCUCUGUGUUUGGAGCUCCCAAUUAUUAUUAUUAAUAAACAUAUUUAUAUACCACCCACUACCAAAGUCUCCAGAGACAGUUUACAAUGCCAUUUUCUUUCUCAAAGCAAUUUUGAUGGGGCUCCUUUGGUGUGGGAUGGUUCACCAUGCAGAUUCUCUUUUCAACAAACUAUCCACUAAAGUUGCUAUAGUGGUGGAAUAGAAAAACUUACAGGCAUAAAAUUGUGCCCUAAGUUUGCUGCUACACAACAAAUAGCAGCUCUGGAGCAACCACAACAGUAGUCAGGGAAUCCAUAUGAAGGCAAAGGGUUGAGCCUCUUCCUCCACACCAUGGCCCUGAUCCAAAUCAAGGCCCCCCACAGCUGCUUUUUUAAGAAUGAAAGCGCACAUCAGGAGCUUUUAACAUUGAACUCUCAUGUCAUGUCUACUUGGGCCCUAAAUGCAGAAAGUGGUGGGACUUACUUCUGAGUAAACAUAUUUAGGAUCAGAAAUGCUAACUAUUUUAGUUCUUAUAGCCCACUUGGAUGUUUAACUAUAUACUCCAAAAUGGGGCUACUGUAUUGCCAAGUAAAAUAAUUCACUAAGCUAGGUUGCAGUUAUUUUCCAAACGUUUAAAUAUGGCCCAAAAAGUCAUAUCCCGUUUCCCUCCACAAAAAGAAGAAGCUGUAACUAAUAUUUUCAUCUGUUCAGCUGUACAUCUCAGUUUGCAACAGGAGUUUGCUGAAGGGAUUUGCUUUUUAUUCCUCCACCUCCACUACCGCCAUCACCGCUACUACCACCACCACCAUCACCACAAUAUUUGGUCAGCCAGCCAGCUAGCCAGGCUGGAGACUGCCAAUUUUUUUUUCUUUGCUGGGUGGAGAGAAGCCACUGGCACCAGCAUGUAACCACGCUGGGUCUAGACCACUUCCAGAAUUGCAGAGAAAACAAGAAUUCUUGGCUCAUUCAUCUGAUCUUCCAAAUUAACGACCAGAUUAAUAAGCAAAGCCCAGCCUUACUAUGACAUGAGAAGAAGCAAUUGCUUUGGGUGAUAUUUGCCAGAUAGGGUUCUAUUUUCCUGCCUCAAUUUCUGUACGUCACUUUUAAACAUGAGCUGGGGAGGAGGGCCGUUCUGACUUGUCAACAUUAUCUAAGAUUUGACAACAUCUAAUACAGUAAAUGCAAAGCCUUCAUUUGACAUGUAUUUCUCCCUUGUUUGCUGGUGUAUUGACUUCUGAAGUUUCUCAGGGUUCUUCUCUCUGCAGCUGUGAUUUUUCAUUAACAACAAAAGGAGGGAGGCUUGGAACCCAAGGAGAAUGCUGGGCAGGGCUAUGGAGUUCCUAGUUGCUAUGGCGGUCAGAGUUCCAUAGGCUAGAACUCCAUGGCCUAGCCACCCCAACUGUCCAUCUGGUGCCUGCCUUGAAGGGGGGAAUGCAAUAAACCUGGGUGCCUUUCUUAAGUAAAGUAAAGGACUGGUGCAAGGAUUACAGAGAUAAUCUAUGUGAAAUGCUUUGAAGAGUCAGAUAAAUGUGAUUGCAUAUACAUUACGCUGCCAAGGACAUCAGAGAGAGAGAGAGAGAGAGAGAGAGAGAGAGAGAGACUCGGAAAGCUGGUAACACCUACAGCUGGAGAUUUCACUUUUGUCCUUUUUAUUUGCUUGCAUAUUUCAUUAGCCCAGUAAGGGGAUCCUUGCAUAAUCAGAGCACACAGAGGAUGCAGAAAAUGUCCUGAACAAAACAACUUGUAUAUGACAUUUCAUUUCAACGGGUUUGCGCAGAAGAGCUUCCUGAUGGAUUACAUAGGAGUUUGUCUUAUACUGAGACAGACCAUUGGUCUAUCCAGCUCAGUACAGUCUACACCAAUGGGCAGUGACUCUCCAGGGUUUCAGGCAGGAGCCUUCUCCAGCCCUUCCUAUCUGAGAUGUCAGGUACUGAACCUAAGACUUUUGGAGUGCAAAGCAAAUGCUCUUCUGCUGAGCUACAGUUCUUCCCAAGGAUCAUGCUCAUAAUGUAUAAACAUUUUUUGCAUUAUGGAUUUGACCAAAGAAGUGUCUUGUGACGGGGUAUGUGUCAAAAUUCUAAGGAACAUGACCCUCAGCUUCAGAUCAAGAGUUUAAUCGUGAAAUCUGUGGCAUAUUUUAUGUUCUUCUUGCAAGCCACCUUGUAAAGCCUUAUUAAUUUUGAAAGUUGAGACAAAAAUCAUUUUAACAAACAAAAUUCAUACCUAUUUGCUACAAUGCAGAUCCUGGAAAGCACACUAAUGAUCAAUUUAAAAACAUAUCUAGUAAUUUAGAUAGCUUAGAUGACUUCAAUGAAUCUAACAAUGGCUACAAGUCAUGAUAGCUAUUUGCUAACUCUAGGUACAGAGGCAGUAUGCCACUGAAUACCAAUUGCAAACAAAUAACAGCAGGAGAGGGGCAUUUGCCUCCAUGCCCACCUCCUGGGCUUCCCAGGAGCUUCUGAUUGACAACUCCAAGGCUGGACCUUUGGUCUGAUCCAGCACGGCUCUACUUAUAUUGUGAUUUAUAUUCGUUUAUGAAGGCAAAUUAGGAGGCUUAAACAGAAAACGAAGACAUAAAAGUGUGUCUUUCACAAUAAAUUAUCAUCAUAAGAUACAUACCUGUCAGUGCUUUCCCCUUAUUGAGAUAGUAUAUAGUAAGAACAGCAAUGCCGACUAAUGCAACAAGAAGGAGUGGAGCAAGCAACAUAUAAAGUAACUUGUUUGCUUCUGGAAAAAGAACAAAAACAAAACAAAACACCCAAUAGUUUGGAAGCUUAUACAGAAGUAGAAAUAUCAUUACUGGAUUCCUUUUUUGCCAUGUAAAAAUCUCAAAAUUCUCUUUUAAAAGAGCAACAAUUUUAUAACUGAAAUGCUGCGAUAUGGAGUGGAAUAGGGAGAAAGGGAGUCCUGAUCGAUCUCACCGUUACAUUCCAUAGUCAUGUUAUGCCUUUUUGGAAAGCGCACAGGGGAAUGACUGGAAACUGCAGCUACAAUUCAAGGUGAGGUGGCCAAUCUGAGUCUCUCCAGCUGUGGUUGGACUACAACCCCAUUCAUCCUUCAUGGCAACAAACUGCAGCUGGGAUGAUGGGAGCUGUAGUCCAAUCACAGCUGGAGAGUCUUAGAUUGGCUGUCUCUGACAAGGUGGCCUUAGCAACUUGAAACAAGCUGCAAACGAGGCUUGCACAAAUCAUUCACAAAUUAGAUUUGCAAUAUCUCAGGUUACUGAGAGUGUUCUUUGGCUCAUCCACUCCCAUGCAGAAAAAAAUAAUAUGAACUUUAUUGCUUUGAGAAUGAAUCCUAAGCACACUGGAUCCAACUUAACUCUGCCUCCAGUGAAGUCCAGUGUUCUUCAUAGAAGUCCUGUGAUAACAGAGCUUUAUUUUAACCAUUGUACCCUACUAUAUGCUAGAUGCUACUGUAUACGCUAUUACAUUUACCAUCUUAUAUGUUCUUUCUCUCUGAAAUAAUAAGCCCAUUUAUUCGGUUUUUAUUUUUCUAAUUGUCUUGAGUUUCAUAACCCCAGUAAUGUUAGUAAGAAAGCUAUUCCUUGUAAUGUUAAAGUUCUGCAUUAUUGCUUGCUGUAAUAUUGUUACUUUUUCUUCUUCGUUGGUGUCUACCCCCCCCGUUCUUUUCUUUAAAAAGAUAUGUAAAAUGGAUUAAUAAAAAUUAAAUUAGAACAAAACAAAAAUUACCAUCUUGUGGAUGGAUUCUUAUAUUCUUCUUACAAACCACAUCAGACCAAUUAGUACCAGGAUUUUUUUCCUUCGUUCCUAGAGCUGUGCAGCUUCGAA